rnacentral:rRNA from 1 species
UACGAAGGGGGCUAGCGUUGCUCGGAAUCACUGGGCGUAAAGCGCACGUAGGCGGUUUGUUAAGUCAGGGGGGAAAUCCUGGAGCUCAACUCCAGAACUGCCUUUGAUACUGGCGAUCUCGAGUUCGGGAGAGGUGAGUGGAACUGCGAGUGUAGAGGUGAAAUUCGUAGAUAUUCGCAAGAACACCAGUGGCGAAGGCGGCUCACUGGCCAGAUACUGACGCUGAGGUGCGAAGGCGUGGGGAGCAAACGGG